AGCGGCGGACGGGUGAGUAACACGUGGGUAACCUGCCCAAGAGACUGGGAUAACACCUGGAAACAGAUGCUAAUACCGGAUAACAACACUAGACGCAUGUCUAGAGUUUGAAAGAUGGUUCUGCUAUCACUCUUGGAUGGACCUGCGGUGCAUUAGCUAGUUGGUAAGGUAACGGCUUACCAAGGCAAUGAUGCAUAGCCGAGUUGAGAGACUGAUCGGCCACAUUGGGACUGAGACACGGCCCAAACUCCUACGGGAGGCAGCAGUAGGGAAUCUUCCACAAUGGACGAAAGUCUGAUGGAGCAACGCCGCGUGAGUGAAGAAGGGUUUCGGCUCGUAAAGCUCUGUUGGUAGUGAAGAAAGAUAGAGGUAGUAACUGGCCUUUAUUUGACGGUAAUUACUUAGAAAGUCACGGCUAACUACGUGCCAGCAGCCGCGGUAAUACGUAGGUGGCGAGCGUUGUCCGGAUUUACUGGGCGUAAAGGGAGCGUAGGCGGAUUUUUAAGUGAGAUGUGAAAUACUCGGGCUUAACCUGAGUGCUGCAUUUCAAACUGGAAGUCUAGAGUGCAGGAGAGGAGAAGGGAAUUCCUAGUGUAGCGGUGAAAUGCGUAGAGAUUAGGAAGAACACCAGUGGCGAAAGCGCUUCUCUGGACUGUAACUGACGCUGAGGCUCGAAG
rnacentral:rRNA from 1 species